UGGGCGUAAAGAGCUCGUAGGCGGUUUGUCGCGUCUGUCGUGAAAGUCCGGGGCUUAACCCCGGAUCUGCGGUGGGUACGGGCAGACUAGAGUGCAGUAGGGGAGACUGGAAUUCCUGGUGUAGCGGUGGAAUGCGCAGAUAUCAGGAGGAACACCGAUGGCGAAGGCAGGUCUCUGGGCUGUAACUGACGCUGAGGAGCGAAAGCAUGGGGAGCGAACAGGAUUAGAUACCCUGGUAGUCCAUGCCGUAAACGUUGGGCACUAGGUGUGGGGACCAUUCCACGGUUUCCGCGCCGCAGCUAACGCAUUAAGUGCCCCGCCUGGGGAGUACGGCCGCAAGGCUAAAACUCAAAGGAAUUGACGGGGGCCCGCACAAGCGGCGGAGCAUGCGGAUUAAUUCGAUGCAACGCGAAGAACCUUACCAAGGCUUGACAUGUUCUCGAUCGCCGUAGAGAUACGGUUUCCCCUUUGGGGCGGGAUCACAGGUGGUGCAUGGUUGUCGUCAGCUCGUGUCGUGAGAUGUUGGGUUAAGUCCCGCAACGAGCGCAACCCUCGUUCCAUGUUGCCAGCACGUGAUGGUGGGGACUCAUGGGAGACUGCCGGGGUCAACUCGGAGGAAGGUGGGGACGACGUCAAAUCAUCAUGCCCCUUAUGUCUUGGGCUUCACGCAUGCUACAAUGGCCGGUACAAUGGGUUGCGAUACUGUGAGGUGGAGCUAAUCCCAAAAAGCCGGUCUCAGUUCGGAUUGGGGUCUGCAACUCGACCCCAUGAAGUCGGAGUCGCUAGUAAUCGCAGAUCAGCAACGCUGCGGUGAAUACGUUCCCGGGCCUUGUACACACCGCCCGUCAAGUCACGAAAGUCGGUAACACCCGAAGCCGGUGGCCUAAC
rnacentral:rRNA from 1 species